GGACAUCAACAAUGGGUGGCAACAUCUGGAGCAGGCUGAGAAGGGCUAUGAAGAAUGGCUCUUGAAUGAAAUCCGUAGGCUGGAACGACUUGAUCACCUGGCAGAGAAAUUCCGGCAGAAGGCUUCCAUCCAUGAGGCCUGGACCGAUGGUAUGCUUCCCAUGCUCCACUGCUCUCUGUCUGCUCUCAGGUAUAAGAGCACACGUAGCCCUCUCCUGGAUUAUCCAGGAACAACACUGCAAGACUCUUCCGUGUGCCUUCACACUUGCUCUGUCCUUACCAAGAAUGGUGUCCAAUCCCAAGUUCUGCCUACCACACUGUCUGUGACUGUGGGCUUCGCGCCCAUUGUCUGGGUUGCAUUAGUUUCUCUUCAGCCACCUCCUGGCUUCCCUGGCAUGUCU
rnacentral:lncRNA from 1 species